UGAGGAUGAACCUCUCUGACUUCAUUGUUUCCAUCCUGGGAAUGCUGAGUGACCAGUCCCCUUCAGCCACAAGCUAUAGUCAAAGUUCCUGAGAGAAGCAAAGUUGCUGCGAUGUGUGAUGUUACCCUCCUGUAAAUGACAGAAUCCUGUUCAGAGGCAGCACCCCGCAGGAGGAGUUAGCACCGCGCAGACGUGAUGCAGCAUUAUAACGAUGCCCUACUUACCAGUUCCUGUUUUUUAUGACUGAAUGGGUUCAUGAAAAGGAAGCAGAACCAUUUCCUUUAAGGCAAGGCUUUGUGCUUUGUGGACAGAGCUGGUCUGACUGCGGGCAUAAUGGGAAGCCAGAGGAAGCCCUGACUCUCUGGUGACUGGAACCCUGGUGGUCAAGAAGGACCAGGGAGAAAACUGACACUAGGCAGAACAGCACUGCGCCAAGGGAACUCCUGGGGGACAGGGCUCUGCUAACUCCCCCGCCCCUGGGCCCUGACAUCUGAUAGGCUCAGUGUGUUUGGGGGGGGGGGGGGUGUCGCGGGGCCUUGGAAAGAAUUUGACCAAUCCCCUGGCUCUAGAACUUGCCGACCGGCCCAGUUAGUGCUAGAAAUGUCCAGUUCGGGAACAGAUCUCAGAAUUGGAAAACGUCCCUGUCCCACCCAGAGUCAGUACAGGAAGAGGAAUCUAGGAGCCUGUCAGUCUCUGGUUUUGCCUAACUAGCGCUGAG
rnacentral:lncRNA from 1 species